rnacentral:rRNA from 1 species
GACGUAGGGCGCGAGCGUUGUCCGGAUUUAUUGGGCGUAAAGAGCUCGUAGGCGGCUUGUCGCGUCGACCGUGAAAACUCGCAGCUCAACUGCGAGCCUGCGGUCGAUACGGGCAGGCUAGAGUUCGGUAGGGGAGACUGGAAUUCCUGGUGUAGCGGUGAAAUGCGCAGAUAUCGGGAGGAACACCUGUGGCGAAGGCGGCUUUCUGGGCCCUACCUGACGCUGAGACGCGAAAGCGUGGGGAGCGAACAGG